CUUCUGUGCUUUGUCAUAAAAUUGUUAUCCUGCCUGUUAAGGACAUGGUGAUAAUUUCCAUGACAACACAGACAGAUUCCAGAAACAAAGAUUUCUGACUAAACGUAUGAAGGCUGUGGAAAAGCACAACUGCAAGAGUUCUUGCCUACCCACUGUAAAUAGCAGAGAGAAAAGUUAAGGUUACAUAGCCUCUUCACGUGAAAAUGUAAUUUUUUAACAUCACAGUCUUGGGGUAUGGGAGUACUUGGAGAGAACUCCAGUGUAAUUUUAGAAAAGGGCCAUCAGUGCUGAUUUACACAGUGCUGGAUUUUUUUUUAAUUGGAUGAGCAAGCAUUUCUCUAACCCCUAGCAAUAUGCCCUUAAUUAAGUGCAGAGCCACAAAACAUAGCUGCAUGGCAUACUCUUAAAUUGGUCCUGAUUACAAAUAAAAAUAGACAGAACAAACACCCACAGAACUGAGGCUUUAUGAAAAGAGGGCUAUAAAUAAUUGGGACGCAUCUGAUCCAACAGGCCAAACAUUGAAGUGUGUUCAGAUCUUAGCCUGCAGUUUGAAUCUGUCUAUAAUAAGCCGAGUCCUGAUGCGUCGCAUUUGGAAACAUUCAGAAAUAAAGAGACAGCGACCCUGAGCCGUCAGCAUUUCCUGUAUUGGCUAAUCUACCUUUGACAGAGCUCCGCGUUGUCCUGACAUCAAAUGGAGUUUCCCCCUUGUGUUUAUAGUAAAUUCCUGGGAUUUUAAUCAUCCUUCUGUACUAAUAUAAGCAGCAACAUUGUGCUUAAUGUAUACCGAGGCGCAGAUCAAGACAGCCCCUGUCUUCAGUAGCUGGCAGCUUAAUGGAGAAAGUCACUGUGUGUUGCCAGGGCUGGUAUCAGGGUCAGCUACAUGCAAAGCAGCUAUUCUUUCCACUGUAAUUCCAGUGUUGGAAAAUGAGGGAUACAAAGGACUACAAAAGGUGCAGGAGAAGGGACUUUUGCAUAUUAGGUUUUUCUGGGUGAAGUCUUGCAUCCGAAGGAAGUCUAGAAACUGCCUGUGUUCUUUGUAG
rnacentral:lncRNA from 1 species